AGAGCACUUAAACAGGUCUCUGCCUGGCCCCAUAGGAUGGGAUUUGGUAGCUGGUGCUCAGAGGAACCUCUCCAUUGCAACCCGCAGCCAGGUCCUUCCUGUGCUGGCUGCGUUACAGAUUUGGAGAGACAUCU
ensembl:snoRNA